UUUGUGUGCGUGAGCGAGCGAGCGAGCGUGCCUCCCGCAUGCGCGAGUGCCAGUUUUCCUCGUGCUCGGGGCUCGUGAUGUUGAGCGGCGUCUCGGGGCACUUCCACUCGGGCAGGGAGAGCAGCGCCACCGUGGGCGUCACGAACGCAAAGCAGAGUCCGUUUUGACGAAAGGCAAAGAUGAGCGAUGACCCCCCCGCCCAGCUCCGCCCACCCCGCACCUAAUGCCGAAGUUGACCUGGAGGAGAGUGCACAGGCCGGACACGAAGAAGAUGGUGUUGAUGAGUUGCCAGAACAUUGCUCCGUGGAAAGAAGCUCCCUUCACUCUGCUGUCUGCAUAUGGAACUGCCUCCCUGGACACAUUGUCGGCGAAAUGACCGAUUCUGUUCUCCAGGCCUUCAAAUGCCGAGCACGUGGACAUAUAACUCCACCACACGCAAUGUUUGGACUGAGUCUUUGAGCUGCAAUUAACCAAUUAUUAUGCCGAUAAGAUGUUACUCAUGUUGAAUAUGGCUAUUGUUUACAAUCGCACCCAAGGUAAAACAGGAUGCAUCCUUGCACCGGCAGAUUUCAUCGCGAGUGCCACAGCAGUGUUGUGUGUUGUUUUUGUUCGGCUCACCUGUAGGCCAAGUACAAUGCACAGGUACCACGGAGGGGUGUCGUAGACGCCGUACACCACGGCUCCUUUGUUCUUGGUCAACCCAUCCCCUCCGUCCGAGCAUUGGUCGCACGCGCCUGAUUCCAUCUCGUCGACGUGAUAAUCUUCCAUUGGUCUGGUGUUUGAAAUAUGCGUUGCUUUAACCAAUGAGUUGCAUCUGCGAAGGCCCAAUAAUUUGGGUAAUUUUUUAACAAAUGUUUGUUUAGUAAGUGUAGUGGAAUGUAGCUUUGUAAUAAAGUAUGCAACUUCUACAGAA